UUAUGUCGGUCGUGCAGGGGCAGGGGGCAGAACCCUUCCCCCGCUUACGCGUGAAAGUUUGAAUAUUAUGACAACGCAUGUGCGCGUGAUUGCACCGCAUACCCAUGUCGCUAUGUUUUAUCGGUAUGACAACCUGAAAAGUGGUCAAUUUUAACGAUUAAUGUCUCGCUUCGCGGGGUAGAGCGACACUUUUUUCUGCGAAAUUCUUUCAUUUUAGACAAAAACGCGUCGAGUGAGCAUAAAUUUAUCAAAAUUGGAGGUGAAGUAGCGAUACUAAAUAAUUAGCAAAAUGCCGAACUGUUGCUUCAAAAAUUGUAAAAGCAGAACAGCGGUCAGGUGGAAAAAUAAAAGUCAAGUGGCGUUUGAAAAAUUGCACGGAAAAAUUUCGUUUCACAAAGUUCCAAAAGAUACACAGCGACGAAAAGUGUGGCUGGAUCGUGUUGGCUUAGGUUCUAGCUAUGUAUCUCAACAUGCUUACCUGUGUUCCCUGCACUUUGACAACGCCGAUUUGGACAGAACUUCUCUUUCUUGUAUUAGACUUCGAACAAAUGCACUUCCAAAGAUAUUUCCUACAGAGACAAGCAGUUGCGACGAAACCAAUAGUGAGCGGGUGGAGGAACAACAUUCGAUAAAAAUGGAACAGCUACUACACGAUACGAGUAAUACGAGUGAGGUACCAUUCAUAAAAUGCGAGUUUGAGGAUUUUGAGAAUCAACAGGUCCAACAGAGUGAUGAAUUAGACAUGGACAUCGAUAUAAAAAGUGAAAUUGAAGCAGCAUUGGAGGAGAAUUAUCCCAUAGUAACUACCCCAAAGCAAGUCGACUUACCAAAGCUAGUCAGCGUAGGAACCAUCGUGUCGCCGUCACUCAGCGAGAAUACUCCUCGGAAAGUUUUUCAGAGAACUGUUUUGGAGAAUAUGAAGUCAACCUACAAAUCCAAAAUCAAGAGCCUCCAACAGCAACUGCGGAGAAAAGAGAAGCGUAUUGCUGAUAUGCAAAGCAUCUUAACUGCAUUGUGUAAAAAAAAUCUUAUUGGUGCCGAACAACUGGACGUACUGAAGGAUUUAGAUACUGUUAAUAAACAUUUACUGAAACGUGAGGUUGCUAAAACUAACAAGCUAUCAGUGACGUAAAAAUUCAGUCCUGAAUUAGGAUCUUUUGAACUAACUCUUUAUUGUUAUUCACCGCGAGCGUAUACGUACGUCCGCUUAACAUUCGAUACUUGUUUGCCCCAUUCGAAGACAUUGAGCAAAUGGUACCGAACAAUAAAUGCUGAGCCAGGUUUUCAUGCAGAAGCUUUAAAAUCAAUUGCAGAUCGUGCUAAAGCUAUACAAUAUCCACUUUUUGGUGCAUUAAUAUUCGAUGAAAUGGCUAUAAGGCAGCAUGUCGAAUAUAUCGGUCACAAGUUAGUGGCUACGUUGAUAUGGGGCCUGAUAUUGAAUGUAGUGAAGGAGAAAUAGCUACCCAAGCUUUAGUUUUUUGAAUUGCAUUAACGGGUCUUGGAAGAUUUCUAUUGGAUAUUUUCUUGCAACGUCAAUGCGGAACAGAAAUGUAACCUUGUUCUGCAAGCAUUGACACUGCUACACGACCACGAAAUGAAUGUAAUUAGCGUGACGUUUGAUGGUGCGCCGUCAAACAUAAGUAUGUGUAGUAGGAUGCAACCUAAAUAUAACGUCCUUUCAGACUCAUCUUGAACAUUCCAGCUCGGAGGAACCAGUUGCGAUAUUGUUUGAUCUGUGUCAUGUGCUGAAGCUGUUUCGCAACUGCCUUGCAGAAUACUCAUCAAUGGUUGAUGACGAGGACAACCUAAUUCAGUGGAAAUACUUUGUCGAACUGAACAAUUUACAAGAACAGGAAAAGUUAUAUUUAGGUUGUACACCAACAAUCAGAACAAUAAGAUUGAUAAAUGAUCUAUUUGAUAUUUUAAAUAUCAAAAGCAUGAAACAAUGGAUUCAAACAGGCAUUGCAUGAAGGUAACAAGGAAUAAAAUAGGAAUAAUAAAACGUAUUUCACGAUUUAUCACAUCAUUGCACGGGCCAAACGGCCCGUGAGAGUCGUGUACUACACUUAAUUAGAGCGAAUAGUAAAUAAAUAUGUUAACGUUAGGUUGUAUUCAAUAGAGCGUUCUAUUACUAAAGAUAAUUUUUAAGUGACAGGCAGGCUGCUAUGAAGGUUGUCUUAUUUAAAGGCCACUAAGGCUAUAUAAGUUAAUAAAUAUUUUAAUGUUGUAACAAACAUAUCAAUAAAACGUACUUAGAUAUGAUUACUUACUUUA
rnacentral:misc_RNA from 1 species